UUUUUAGUUGUUAUUUCUCAAGAAGGAAGUUGGGUUACUGUAGAAACAUACGUUAAAGUACUUUUUUUGAUACAUAACUACGAAACAGAGGCUGUAUCAAAGUUUUCAUGCUAUAGUGCUGCUAAAAACUAUGGAAAUAUGGAUUGCUGAGGAUACUAAAUUUAGAAGAGUGCAAUUCUCAAACCGUAUUAAAGAAGCUUUGUCAAGAAAUAAAGUAGUAAGGGAAAGAGUGUUUCCAGUUUGCUUUCCUUCAAAAAGUUCUUAUACUGGUCAUUUUACUAGAGAUAUAUAUUUUAUGUAUUUAACAUGGAAAGCUGACUGUAAUUUGUUUAACAGGUAA